UACGUAGGGACCAAGCGUUGUUCGGAUUUACUAGGCGUAAAGCGCAGGUAGGCGGUUUGGUAAGUCUUUUUGUGAAAGCUCCUGGCUUAACUGGGAGAGGUCAAAGGAAACUACCAGGCUAGAGUGUGGCAGAGGAAGCUGGAAUUCCCGGUGUAGCGGUGAAAUGCGUAGAUAUCUGGAGGAACACCGGUGGCGAAGGCGGCAUCCUGGACCGACACUGACGCUGAGGAGCGAAAGCCAGGGGAGCAAACGGG
rnacentral:rRNA from 1 species